GGAAAGGUGCAGGAGUGGUUUAACUGGCACGCCUGGAGAGCGUGUGACCGUGAAAGCGGUCCGUGGGUUCGAAUCCCACCCUUUCCG
rnacentral:tRNA from 1 species